rnacentral:rRNA from 1 species
UCCUGGCUCAGGACGAACGCUGGCGGCGUGCCUAACACAUGCAAGUUGAGCGAAGUACUUGGAAGCUUGAUCCCUUCGGGGUGACGCACCAAGUAUCUUAGCGGCGGACGGGUGAGUAACGCGUGAGAAACCUGCCUUUUACAAAGGGAUAGCCUCGGGAAACUGGGAUUAAUACCUUACGAAACCAUAAUACCCCCUGGUAUAAUGGUCAAAGCGUAAAGCGGUAAAAGAUGGUCUCGCGUCCCAUUAGCUAGUUGGGAGAUAAAAGCUCACCAAGGCAACGAUGGGUAACCGGCCUGAGAGGGUGAACGGUCACACUGGAACUGAGACACGGUCCAGACUCCUACGGGAGGCAGCAGUGGGGAAUAUUGCACAAUGGAGGAAACUCUGAUGCAGCGACGCCGCGUGAAUGAAGAAGGCUUUCGAGUCGUAAAAUUCUGUCCUAGGGGACGAUAAUGACGGUACCCUAGGAGGAAGCCCCGGCUAAUUACGUGCCAGCAGCCGCGGUAAUACGUAAGGGGCGAGCGUUGUCCGGAAUUAUUGGGCGUAAAGGGUUCGCAGGCGGCCUAUUAAGUCAGAUGUUAAAUCUCAUGGCCUAACCAUGAUAAGCAUUUGAAACUGAAAGGCUUGAGUUAAGGAGAGGAAAGUGGAAUUCCUAGUGUAGCGGUGAAAUGCGUAGAUAUUAGGAGGAAUACCAGUGGCGAAGGCGACUUUCUGGACUUAUACUGACGCUGAGG